UACGGAGGGGGCUAGCGUUGUUCGGAAUUACUGGGCGUAAAGCGCACGUAGGCGGCUCUGCAAGUCGGAUGUGAAAUCCCUCGGCUCAACCAAGGAAGUGCAUCCGAAACUGCGGAGCUUGAGUACUUAAGAGGAUCGCGGAAUUCCCGGUGUAGAGGUGAAAUUCGUAGAUAUCGGGAGGAACACCAGUGGCGAAGGCGGCGAUCUGGGAAGAUACUGACGCUGAGGUGCGAAAGCGUGGGGAGCAAACAGG
rnacentral:rRNA from 1 species